rnacentral:rRNA from 1 species
GAUGAACGCUAGCGGCAGGCUUAACACAUGCAAGUCGAGGGGCAGCACGGGUAGCAAUACCUGGUGGCGACCGGCAAACGGGUGCGGAACACGUACAGAAUCUACCUUUAUCUGGGGCAUAGCCCGAAGAAAUUCGGAUUAAUACCCCAUAAUAUACGAGAGUGGCAUCACUCAUGUAUUAAAACUCCGGUGGAUAGAGAUGACUGUGCGUCCCAUUAGCAGUUGGUAGGGUAAAGGCCUACCAAGGCGACGAUGGGUAGCUGGUGUGAGAGCACGACCAGCCACACGGGCACUGAGACACGGGCCCGACUCCUACGGGAGGCAGCAGUGAGGAAUAUUGGUCAAUGGACGCAAGUCUGAACCAGCCAUGCCGCGUGAAGGAUGAAGGCGUUCUGCGUUGUAAACUUCUUUUAUCUGGAAGAAACCUACGAUUUCUAUUGUAGCCGACGGUACCAGAGGAAUAAGCACCGGCUAACUCCGUGCCAGCAGC